ensembl:snRNA U4 U4 spliceosomal RNA
GGCUUUGCACAGUGGUAGUAUUGUAGCCAGUGAAGUUUGUCUGAGGUGUGAUUAUUGCUAAUUGAAAACUAUUUGUCCUUGAAUCUAGGGAAACUGGAAACUUCCAUCCUCUUUAGUUGUGUAGAAAUGUUUCCACU